rnacentral:rRNA from 1 species
UGGGGAAUAUUGGACAAUGGGCGCAAGUCUGAUCCAGCCAUGCCGCGUGUGUGAAGAAGGCCUUCGGGUUGUAAAGCACUUUUGUCCGGAAAGAAAAGCUUCGGGUUAAUAACCUGGAGUCAUGACGGUACCGGAAGAAUAAGCACCGGCUAACUUCGUGCCAGCAGCCGCGGUAAUACGAAGGGUGCAAGCGUUACUCGGAAUUACUGGGCGUAAAGCGUGCGUAGGUGGUUUGUUAAGUCUGAUGUGAAAGCCCUGGGCUCAACCUGGGAACGGCAUUGGAUACUGGCUUACUAGAGUGCGGUAGAGGGUAGCGGAAUUCCCGGUGUAGCAGUGAAAUGCGUAGAUAUCGGGAGGAACAUCCGUGGCGAAGGCGGCUACCUGGACCAGCACUGACACUGAGGCACGAAAGCGUGGGGAGCAA